UUAAGCGACUAAGCGUACACGGUGGAUGCCCUGGCAGUCAGAGGCGAUGAAGGACGUGCUAAUCUGCGAAAAGCGUCGGUAAGGUGAUAUGAACCGUUAUAACCGGCGAUGUCCGAAUGGGGAAACCCAGUGUGAUUCGUCACACUAUCGUUAACUGAAUACAUAGGUUAACGAGGCGAACCGGGGGAACUGAAACAUCUAAGUACCCGAGGAAAAGAAAUCAACCGAGAUUCCCCCAGUAGCGGCGAGCGAACGGGGAGCAGCCCAGAGUCUGAAUCAGCUUGUGUGUUAGUGGAACGGUCUGGAAAGUCCGACGGUACAGGGUGAUAGUCCCGUACACCAAAAUGCACAGGCUGUGAACUCGAAGAGUAGGGCGGGACACGUGGUAUCCUGUCUGAAUAUGGGGGGACCAUCCUCCAAGGCUAAAUACUCCUGACUGACCGAUAGUGAACCAGUACCGUGAGGGAAAGGCGAAAAGAACCCCGGCGAGGGGAGUGAAAAAGAACCUGAAACCGUGUACGUACAAGCAGUGGGAGCACCUUCGGGUGUGACUGCGUACCUUUUGUAUAAUGGGUCAGCGACUUAUAUUCUGUAGCAAGGUUAACCGUAUAGGGGAGCCGCAGGGAAACCGAGUCUUAACUGGGCGUUAAGUUGCAGGGUAUAGACCCGAAACCCGGUGAUCUAGCCAUGGGCAGGUUGAAGGUUGGGUAACACUAACUGGAGGACCGAACCGACUAAUGUUGAAAAAUUAGCGGAUGACUUGUGGCUGGGGGUGAAAGGCCAAUCAAACCGGGAGAUAGCUGGUUCUCCCCGAAAGCUAUUUAGGUAGCGCCUCGUGAAUUCAUCUUCGGGGGUAGAGCACUGUUUCGGCUAGGGGGUCAUCCCGACUUACCAACCCGAUGCAAACUACGAAUACCGAAGAAUGUUAUCACGGGAGACACACGGCGGGUGCUAACGUCCGUCGUGAAGAGGGAAACAACCCAGACCGCCAGCUAAGGUCCCAAAGUCAUGGUUAAGUGGGAAACGAUGUGGGAAGGCACAGACAGCCAGGAUGUUGGCUUAGAAGCAGCCAUCAUUUAAAGAAAGCGUAAUAGCUCACUGGUCGAGUCGGCCUGCGCGGAAGAUGUAACGGGGCUAAACCAUGCACCGAAGCUGCGGCAGCGACACUAUGUGUUGUUGGGUAGGGGAGCGUUCUGUAAGCCUGCGAAGGUGACCUGUGAGGGUUGCUGGAGGUAUCAGAAGUGCGAAUGCUGACAUAAGUAACGAUAAAGCGGGUGAAAAGCCCGCUCGCCGGAAGACCAAGGGUUCCUGUCCAACGUUAAUCGGGGCAGGGUGAGUCGACCCCUAAGGCGAGGCCGAAAGGCGUAGUCGAUGGGAAACAGGUUAAUAUUCCUGUACUUGGUGUUACUGCGAAGGGGGACGGAGAAGGCUAUGUUAGCCGGGCGACGGUUGUCCCGGUUUAAGCAUGUAGGCUGGUUGUCCAGGCAAAUCCGGAUAAUCAAGGCUGAGGUGUGAUGACGAGGCACUACGGUGCUGAAGUAACAAAUGCCCUGCUUCCAGGAAAAGCCUCUAAGCAUCAGGUAACAUCAAAUCGUACCCCAAACCGACACAGGUGGUCAGGUAGAGAAUACCAAGGCGCUUGAGAGAACUCGGGUGAAGGAACUAGGCAAAAUGGUGCCGUAACUUCGGGAGAAGGCACGCUGGUGUGUAGGUGAAGUCCCUGCGGAUGGAGCUGAGACCAGUCGAAGAUACCAGCUGGCUGCAACUGUUUAUUAAAAACACAGCACUGUGCAAACACGAAAGUGGACGUAUACGGUGUGACGCCUGCCCGGUGCCGGAAGGUUAAUUGAUGGGGUUAUCCGUAAGGAGAAGCUCUUGAUCGAAGCCCCGGUAAACGGCGGCCGUAACUAUAACGGUCCUAAGGUAGCGAAAUUCCUUGUCGGGUAAGUUCCGACCUGCACGAAUGGCGUAAUGAUGGCCAGGCUGUCUCCACCCGAGACUCAGUGAAAUUGAACUCGCUGUGAAGAUGCAGUGUACCCGCGGCAAGACGGAAAGACCCCGUGAACCUUUACUAUAGCUUGACACUGAACAUUGAGCCUUGAUGUGUAGGAUAGGUGGGAGGCUUUGAAGCGUGGACGCCAGUCUGCGUGGAGCCAACCUUGAAAUACCACCCUUUAAUGUUUGAUGUUCUAACGUUGGCCCCUGACCGGGGUUGCGGACAGUGUCUGGUGGGUAGUUUGACUGGGGCGGUCUCCUCCCAAAGCGUAACGGAGGAGCACGAAGGUUAGCUAAUCCUGGUCGGACAUCAGGAGGUUAGUGCAAUGGCAUAAGCUAGCUUGACUGCGAGCGUGACGGCGCGAGCAGGUGCGAAAGCAGGUCAUAGUGAUCCGGUGGUUCUGAAUGGAAGGGCCAUCGCUCAACGGAUAAAAGGUACUCCGGGGAUAACAGGCUGAUACCGCCCAAGAGUUCAUAUCGACGGCGGUGUUUGGCACCUCGAUGUCGGCUCAUCACAUCCUGGGGCUGAAGUAGGUCCCAAGGGUAUGGCUGUUCGCCAUUUAAAGUGGUACGCGAGCUGGGUUUAGAACGUCGUGAGACAGUUCGGUCCCUAUCUGCCGUGGGCGCUGGAGAAUUGAGGGGGGCUGCUCCUAGUACGAGAGGACCGGAGUGGACGCAUCACUGGUGUUCGGGUUGUCAUGCCAAUGGCACUGCCCGGUAGCUAAAUGCGGAAGAGAUAAGUGCUGAAAGCAUCUAAGCACGAAACUUGCCCCGAGAUGAGUUCUCCCUGAGACUAUAAGUCUCCUGAAGGAACGUUAAAGACGAUGACGUUGAUAGGCCGGGUGUGUAAGCGCAGCGAUGCGUUGAGCUAACCGGUACUAAUGAACCGUGAGGCUUAACCUU
rnacentral:rRNA from 1 species